CCUGGCGGCACUAGCGCGGUGGUCCCACCUGACCCCAUGCCGAACUCAGAAGUGAAACGCCGUAGCGCCGAUGGUAGUGUGGGGUUACGAGCGCAGGCAACGCCGCUGAUGCGA
rnacentral:rRNA from 1 species